UAGGAUGGGACUGCGGCCUAUCAGCUUGUUGGUGAGGUAAUGGGCUCACCAAGGCUAUUACAGGUACGGGCUCUGAGAGGAGAAGCCCGGAGAUGGGUACUGAGACACGGACCCAGGCCCUAUGGGGCGCAGCAGGCGAGAAACCUUUGCAAUGUGCGCAAGCACGACAAGGUUAAUCCGAGUGUUUCCUGCUAAAGGAAUCUUUUGUUAGUUCUAAAACCACUGAUGAAUAAGAGGUGGGCAAGUUCUGGUGUCAGCCGCCGCGGUAAAACCAGCACCUCAAGUGGUCAGGAGGAUUAUUGGGCCUAAAGCAUCCGUAGCCGGUUCUGUAAGUUUUCGGUUAAAUCCACUAGCUUAACUAAUGGGCUGCCGAAAAUACUGCAGAACUAGGGAGUGGGAGAGGUAGACGGUACUCGGUAGGAAGGGGUAAAAUCCUUUGAUCUAUUGAUGACCACCUGUGGCGAAGGCGGUCUACCAGAACACGUUCGACGGUGAGGGAUGAAAGCUGGGGGAGCAAACCGGAUUAGAUACCCGGGUAGUCCCAGCUGUAAACGAUGCAGACUCGGUGAUGCACUGGCUUGUGGCCAGUGCAGUGCCGCAGGGAAGCCGUUAAGUUUGCCGCCUGGGAAGUACGUACGCAAGUAUGAAACUUAAUG
rnacentral:rRNA from 2 species